rnacentral:rRNA from 1 species
CGAGCGAGCUUGCCUAGAUGAAUUUGGUGCUUGCACCAGAUGAAACUAGAUACAAGCGAGCGGCGGACGGGUGAGUAACACGUGGGUAACCUGCCCAAGAGACUGGGAUAACACCUGGAAACAGAUGCUAAUACCGGAUAACAACACUAGACGCAUGUCUAGAGUUUAAAAGAUGGUUCUGCUAUCACUCUUGGAUGGACCUGCGGUGCAUUAGCUAGUUGGUAAGGUAACGGCUUACCAAGGCAAUGAUGCAUAGCCGAGUUGAGAGACUGAUCGGCCACAUUGGGACUGAGACACGGCCCAAACUCCUACGGGAGGCAGCAGUAGGGAAUCUUCCACAAUGGACGCAAGUCUGAUGGAGCAACGCCGCGUGAGUGAAGAAGGGUUUCGGCUCGUAAAGCUCUGUUGAUAGUGAAGAAAGAUAGAGGUAGUAACUGGCCUUUAUUUGACGGUAAUUACUUAGAAAGUCACGGCUAACUACGUGCCAGCAGCCGCGGUAAUACGUAGGUGGCAAGCGUUGUCCGGAUUUAUUGGGCGUAAAGCGAGUGCAGGCGGUUCAAUAAGUCUGAUGUGAAAGCCUUCGGCUCAACCGGAGAAUUGCAUCAGAAACUGUUGAACUUG